CUUGUAACCUCGAUGCAGGAAGGAUUCCUCACUGUGGCGGUCCUCUUCUCCUAUCGAGUCUCCAACGGUCGGAACGACAUGACUCUUUGCAGGGUAAUUCCACCUAGUUCCUGCGCUGUCAAUGUCAUCGGUCAAAGUGGAUGUGCUGUCGAGGGCAUAUGGGUUUUGCUACUGGGAUUCUGACAAGGGCUCUGAGGGUAACGUACCAUUUCGGUAGGGAAGGGGUGUCUUUCCAGUCGACCUCUACAAUUCUGCCUGCUUUUGCUGCCAGUUUGGUGAUGUUAUCUGUUGAGAGUAGUUCCGGUAGGAUUCCUCUGAGCUGAAUCCAGAAAGAAAUGCUAUCAAACUUGACUUCUUCCAGUGCAAGCCCUUUAUCCCAGCGAGAUAUCAUCACGUGAGCCCCUUGCACAGACCAGGCUCGUUCUCUUUCUACGCUUGCAAUAGGCGGGGAAUGAUGGCCUUUGGCGGUGGGGGUUUGAAACCAAACGACUUGAUGAGAAGGGUCAAAGGAAUUGUGUCCUGUGAUUCUUCUUGAUUGGUUGGGAGCUCCAUGGCAGCUUGCUUGUUGUCCCAAGUCAUCUGUGUGUUCAACAGUUCAGCAAGGGAAUAGUAAAAAUCGGUGGGAUCCAUUGGAGGUGGUGGGGUGUCUUGAGGUUGGAGAUAGGAUUUGGGAAGAGCAGAUGGGGUUUUUGAGUGGUUCUGUUGCGAAAUUGAUGGGUUUUCAUCCACUUUUAUUCUAAUUAAUCCAUUUUCACACAAAUUGAGUCUUUAUUCAAUUUAAUUCUAUCUUUUAAACCAAA